ACCUGCUAGGCUCGUCCCACCUGUGUGGAGCUCCCAUCGCCCUCCAGCGUUGCGCAGCCUGAAGGGACAGGACGGACAAGCGGGUGCCUCCUUCUAAUUCAUCUUCACCAUUGUGGUUGUCAAUAUGGCAUGCAGAAUUAUCCCUCUUUCCAGGUUUUCCCCAAGGACCCUGGACAAUGCUGGUUUUUCCUAUGUGCACCACCAAAGGGCCUAUCCAGCUUCUGGAGUCUACCUGGAUUCCUGGGCUCAUGGCCCCUUCCUCCAUCUUCAAACCAGCAAUGGAAAUGGAAAUGAAAGCAAAAUGGAAGGACGUGAGGUCCUUAUCCUUGGAGAUCCUAUGGAGUCUCCACAGACAUUCCUUGAAGAAAUCAGAUGGAGCUGAGCCUGACACUCUAACCGGUUCUCUGGGUGUACUGCAAAGGUCUAAUAAAAGGCACCUUUGCCCGGUUGCUUCAAUUCUAGGAAGCUGUUCAAUGUUUGACUAUAUUUCUCCAUACUCAUUUGAAAACAGUUCAUCAGGUUAGUUCAGUUGAAUUAUUGCUCCUUGGGAGUUUUCCAAACCCUGGAUUUCCUUCGGAGAGAGCUAGAUUCUAUUCCAUUCUUGGAAUUCAGCUCCUUGCCCUUCUCUGUGACCCCGGAUCGCGAAUGCAGUAAAAAUAAAAAUAUCCUGCUGCCUCCUGCA
rnacentral:lncRNA from 10 species